rnacentral:rRNA from 1 species
GAUCAUGGCUCAGGAUGAACGCUGGCGGCGUGCUUAACACAUGCAAGUCGAGCGAAGCGCUUUGGAAAGAUUCUUCGGAUGAUUUCCUUUGUGACUGAGCGGCGACGGGGUGAAGGUAACGCGUGGGUAACCUGCCUCAUACAGGGGGAUAACAGUUAGAAAUGACUGCUAAUACCGCAUAAGACCACGGUACCGCAUGGUACAGUGGUAAAAACUCCGGUGGUAUGAGAUGGACCCGCGU